CGGCCGAUGGCAGAUUAGCUAGUUGGUGGGGUAAAGGCCUACCAAGGCGACGAUCUGUAGCUGGUCUGAGAGGACGACCAGCCACACUGGGACUGAGACACGGCCCAGACUCCUACGGGAGGCAGCAGUGGGGAAUUUUGGACAAUGGGGGAAACCCUGAUCCAGCAAUGCCGCGUGUGUGAAGAAGGCCUUCGGGUUGUAAAGCACUUUUGUCCGGAAAGAAAUCCUGUGGGCUAAUACCCUGUGGGGAUGACGGUACCGGAAGAAUAAGCACCGGCUAACUACGUGCCAGCAGCCGCGGUAAUACGUAGGGUGCAAGCGUUAAUCGGAAUUACUGGGCGUAAAGCGUGCGCAGGCGGUCCGCUAAGACAGAUGUGAAAUCCCCGGGCUUAACCUGGGAACUGCAUUUGUGACUGGCGGGCUAGAGUAUGGCAGAGGGGGGUAGAAUUCCACGUGUAGCAGUGAAAUGCGUAGAGAUGUGGAGGAAUACCGAUGGCGAAGGCAGC
rnacentral:rRNA from 1 species